rnacentral:rRNA from 1 species
UACGGAGGGUGCAAGCGUUAUCCGGAUUCACUGGGUGUAAAGGGUGCGUAGGUGGGUUGGUAAGUCAGUGGUGAAAUCCCCGGGCUUAACCUGGGAACUGCAUUUGUGACUGCAUGGCUAGAGUUUGUCAGAGGGGGGUGGAAUUCCACGUGUAGCAGUGAAAUGCGUAGAUAUGUGGAGGAACACCGAUGGCGAAGGCAGCCCCCUGGGAUGUGACUGACGCUCAUGUACGAAAGCGUGGGGAGCAAACAGG